CAGGAAGAAGCCAUGUCUCUCUCUCUUGCUGACUUGUGCCUUGCUGUUUGCAGCAGCCAUGAAUGGCUGCCCCACCAUGCCAUGCUGCCUUGGAGCCAACUGAGUAUGGACUGAAACCUGAAGAACUCUUCUCUCCUUUCCCUGAUACUUCUGUUUCCAGUCCUCCUGCCCCCACAUCCGGGCCUUCUCACCUGCAGUUUCCGGUCUCCGCACUAUGCUCCAGUUGCCUUCCCCAGCUCUGGUCCCCUCUCCCUAGAUUCCCAUCCUCUCUUUGUGCUGCUGUGGAGCUCCUGCUCUCUCUGCUCCUUUCUUGCUUGCUUUCCUCGGAGCAUGACAGAAUGAGGACACUGAAUACAGUUACAGUAAUGUCAGCAGCUCAGGGGAGAAACAUGCAAAGUAGAAAAAAGGGAAAAAUAGACCUUUUUAAUUAGAUAUCUGUGCCACUGACUCACACUUAAUAUGCAGAUUUUAACCCUUCCAUUGUUAAGUGAAGUGGGAGUUUUACUCAAAGGUGGAAAUGGCUGAGAGAUGAGGAGGGGUAAUUAAGCAGCACUGCAAUGUAAAGUAUUGCUGUCCUCAAUGUGGUAACACAGGCAAGGAAAGGGCCCAUGCUUCACUUGGGAAGCAGGAGCCUUAGAUUCCUUCACUCGGAAGACGAUGGCAAUGGUGACCUAUUUUACGUGUACAAUGGACUCGGGUUCAGAAUUGGUUUUGUAUCCCAUAUUUUCCUUGGCCCUUAAGCAGUAUUCUAAGUUUCUUUGGGUGGCCCAUUGUGCAGAUGCAAACUAGAAGCUCCAAACUAUGUGUAAUUCACUCAUGAUCUCCUGACUGCUGAGUGCCAGAGUCAUCUGGGAGGUUUGUCUUUAUCCUGCAAGGGCCAGAUGUAGGAUUUUACACUAAUGGAGAUGGUUUGAUUAUAGGGGCAGUACAAAAAAAUCUCAGCUUCAAAAAUUAGCAUGCACUUGUUUUGUUUCUUGGUAUUAGUUUGAAAAUAAAUUUAAUAAAAGUAAAACAUUCAAUAUGUAUACCUUCA